UGAAUUUAUUUUUUAAAUGUUUAUAUUAUUUGAAUGUUUUAUUCAAAUAAUAUAAAAAAUAAUAUAUAUAUUGACAUGGAUUAAACAAAGAUAUAUAUUAUUCUAUGUUGUAUAAACAAAUUGGCAAAAUAGAGAUGGAAGAUAAAAAUAUGGUCAAAGUAAUAAGAGUCUAUGGUGAAUGCCUAGGAGCUUUAAGGCGAAGAAGGUCGUGGUAAGCUGCGAAAAGCUUGGGGGAAAAGCAAACAUUUAUUGAUCCCAAGAUUACCGAAUGGAGUAAUCCAGCUAGCAAGAUGCUAGCUAUCUAUUAUCUAAAUAAUAGAGGCGAUACCAGG
rnacentral:misc_RNA from 1 species